rnacentral:rRNA from 1 species
AUUGAACGCUGGCGGCAGGCUUAACACAUGCAAGUCGAGCGGAGCGAGGGUGCUUGCACCUUAGCUUAGCGGCGGACGGGUGAGUAAUGCUUAGGAAUCUGCCUAUUAGUGGGGGACAACAUUCCGAAAGGAAUGCUAAUACCGCAUACGCCCUACGGGGGAAAGCAGGGGAUCUUCGGACCUUGCGCUAAUAGAUGAGCCUAAGUCGGAUUAGCUAGUUGGUGGGGUAAAGGCCUACCAAGGCGACGAUCUGUAGCGGGUCUGAGAGGAUGAUCCGCCACACUGGGACCGAGACCAUGCCCAGACUCCUACAGGAGGCAGCAGUGGGGAAUAUUGGACAGUGGGCGUAAGCCUGAUCCAGCCAUGCCGCGUGUGUGAAGAAGGCCUUUUGGUUGUAAAGCACUUUAAGCGAGGAGGAGGCUACUUAGAUUAAUACUCUGGGAUAGUGGACGUUACUCGCAGAAUAAGCACCGGCUAACUCUGUGCCAGCCGCCGCCGUAAAAC